rnacentral:rRNA from 1 species
UGUAUAAUGGGUCAGCGACUUAUAUUCUGUAGCAAGGUUAACCGAAUAGGGGAGCCGAAGGGAAACCGAGUCUUAACUGGGCGUUAAGUUGCAGGGUAUAGACCCGAAACCCGGUGAUCUAGCCAUGGGCAGGUUGAAGGUUGGGUAACACUAACUGGAGGACCGAACCGACUAAUGUUGAAAAAUUAGCGGAUGACUUGUGGCUGGGGGUGAAAGGCCAAUCAAACCGGGAGAUAGCUGGUUCUCCCCGAAAGCUAUUUAGGUAGCGCCUCGUGAAUUCAUCUCCGGGGGUAGAGCACUGUUUCGGCAAGGGGGUCAUCCCGACUUACCAACCCGAUGCAAACUGCGAAUACCGGAGAAUGUUAUCACGGGAGACACACGGCGGGUGCUAACGUCCGUCGUGAAGAGGGAAACAACCCAGACCGCCAGCUAAGGUCCCAAAGUCAUGGUUAAGUGGGAAACGAUGUGGGAAGGCCCAGACAGCCAGGAUGUUGGCUUAGAAGCAGCCAUCAUUUAAAGAAAGCGUAAUAGCUCACUGGUCGAGUCGGCCUGCGCGGAAGAUGUAACGGGGCUAAACCAUGCACCGAAGCUGCGGCAGCGACGCUUAUGCGUUGUUGGGUAGGGGAGCGUUCUGUAAGCCUGCGAAGGUGUGCUGUGAGGCAUGCUGGAGGUAUCAGAAGUGCGAAUGCUGACAUAAGUAACGAUAAAGCGGGUGAAAAGCCCGCUCGCCGGAAGACCAAGGGUUCCUGUCCAACGUUAAUCGGGGCAGGGUGAGUCGACCCCUAAGGCGAGGCCGAAAGGCGUAGUCGAUGGGAAACAGGUUAAUAUUCCUGUACUUGGUGUUACUGCGAAGGGGGGACGGAGAAGGCUAUGUUGGCCGGGCGACGGUUGUCCCGGUUUAAGCGUGUAGGCUGGUUUUCCAGGCAAAUCCGGAAAAUCAAGGCUGAGGCGUGAUGACGAGGCACUACGGUGCUGAAGCAACAAAUGCCCUGCUUCCAGGAAAAGCCUCUAAGCAUCAGGUAACAUCAAAUCGUACCCCAAACCGACACAGGUGGUCAGGUAGAGAAUACCAAGGCGCUUGAGAGAACUCGGGUGAAGGAACUAGGCAAAAUGGUGCCGUAACUUCGGGAGAAGGCACGCUGAUAUGUAGGUGAAGUCCCUCGCGGAUGGAGCUGAAAUCAGUCGAAGAUACCAGCUGGCUGCAACUGUUUAUUAAAAACACAGCACUGUGCAAACACGAAAGUGGACGUAUACGGUGUGACGCCUGCCCGGUGCCGGAAGGUUAAUUGAUGGGGUCAGCGCAAGCGAAGCUCUUGAUCGAAGCCCCGGUAAACGGCGGCCGUAACUAUAACGGUCCUAAGGUAGCGAAAUUCCUUGUCGGGUAAGUUCCGACCUGCACGAAUGGCGUAAUGAUGGCCAGGCUGUCUCCACCCGAGACUCAGUGAAAUUGAACUCGCUGUGAAGAUGCAGUGUACCCGCGGCAAGACGGAAAGACCCCGUGAACCUUUACUAUAGCUUGACACUGAACAUUGAGCCUUGAUGUGUAGGAUAGGUGGGAGGCUU